rnacentral:rRNA from 1 species
AAAGCCGCGGCGUGUUAAUACUGCCGUCGAGCGGACCGAAGGGAGCUUGCUCCUUUAGGUUAGCGGCGGACGGGUGAGUAACACGUGGGCAACCUGCCCUGCAGACUGGGAUAACUUCGGGAAACCGGAGCUAAUACCGGAUAACACCGAAAACCGCAUGGUUUUCGGUUGAAAGGCGGCUUUUAGCUGUCACUGCAGGAUGGGCCCGCGGCGCAUUAGCUAGUUGGUGAGGUAACGGCUCACCAAGGCGACGAUGCGUAGCCGACCUGAGAGGGUGACCGGCCACACUGGGACUGAGACACGGCCCAGACUCCUACGGGAGGCAGCAGUAGGGAAUCUUCCGCAUGGACGAAAGUCUGACGGAGCAACGCCGCGUGAGCGAAAAGGUCUUCGGAUCGUAAAGCUCUGUUGUCAGGGAAAACAAGUACCGUUCGAACAGGGCGGUACCUUGACGGUACCUGACAAGGAAGCCACGGCUAACUACGUGCCACACCGCGGUAAUACUAGUGGCA